rnacentral:rRNA from 1 species
AUUGAACGCUGGCGGCAUGCCUUACACAUGCAAGUCGAACGGCAGCACGGGAGCAAUCCUGGUGGCGAGUGGCGAACGGGUGAGUAAUAUAUCGGAACGUGCCCAGUCGUGGGGAUAACGUAGCGAAAGCUACGCUAAUACCGCAUACGAUCUAUGGAUGAAAGCGGGGGAUCGCAAGACCUCGCGCGAUUGGAGCGGCCGAUAUCAGAUUAGGUAGUUGGUGAGGUAAAGGCUCACCAAGCCGACGAUCUGUAGCUGGUCUGAGAGGACGACCAGCCACACUGGGACUGAGACACGGCCCAGACUCCUACGGGAGGCAGCAGUGGGGAAUUUUUGGACAAUGGGCGCAAGCCUGAUCCAGCAAUGCCGCGUGCAGGAUGAA